rnacentral:rRNA from 1 species
AUAGCGUAUAUUAAAGUUGUUGCAGUUAAAAAGCUCGUAGUUGAACCUUGGGCCUGGCUGGCCGGUCCGCCUCACCGCGUGCACUGGUCCGGCCGGGCCUUUCCUUCUGGGGAGCCGCAUGCCCUUCACUGGGUGUGUCGGGGAACCAGGACUUUUACUUUGAAAAAAUUAGAGUGUUCAAAGCAGGCCUAUGCUCGAAUACAUUAGCAUGGAAUAAUAAAAUAGGAUUUCGGUCUUAUUUUGUUGGUUUCUAGGACCGUAGUAAUGAUUAAUAGGGUCAGUCGGGGGCAUCAGUAUUCAAUUGUCAGAGGUGAAAUUCUUGGAUUUAUUGAAGACUAACUACUG